ACCUUACUAUCAUUCCUGUAGGUGGUUAACAGAGGCACAAAGCACUCAUAUACGGGGAUCAGAGGAAGAAAUAACUUCAUGAUAUGAGAACGGUGCCUGAUGAAAUCAGUCUGGAAGGGAGGGAUGCAACCUCCAGCCAAACCCAACAGAUCAGGUGAUGUUUGAUUUCUAGGUAUCUAUUCAAAACCCCUGUCCCUGUGGGCACAAGGGGGACUCCAGAUUCAAAGCACUUACGAUCCAGAUGCAAGGAUGCCCCUAACCGCUAUUUCAUGUUUCCGUUCGAAUGUUGCUGUCUCAACAAGACCUUCCCUAACUACCAGCGGUAAGCUGAAGCCAGCUACCGCCAGCCCACGAGAGUAGACGGUGAAAUUUUCAGGAAAUCUGCAAGCCAGUUAGUAUAUACAAUCAUUAAUUCCCUCCAAGGAGACAAUAGGCAGUGGCUGGAGACACUUUUGGUUAUCACAGCUGAGAGACUGGUACUGCUGGCAUCUUGUGAGCAGAGGCCUGGGAUACUGCUAACCUCUUUCAACGUACGUGGCGGCCCCCGUACGAAAGAAUUAUGUGGCUGAAAGGUCAAGGGUACUGAGUCAACUGUGAGGAAGACAGAGGAGACUGCGGACUUGCUUCAGGAUUCCCUGCGCUGAGGAACACAGACACUUCAACUGACCUUUACAGCCCAGUGUGGUAAAUGUUAGCAUUGGGAAAAUACGAAAGAGGUUAUUAAACCCAGGCUUGGAACAUCAGGGAGGACUUCCUGGAGAAAGUAGCUUCGGUGUUAAGACUUCAGGCAGAGGAAGACUGAAUCAGAGAAGGGUGUAUGGGGGAUAGCUUUUAUUAUGGAGCACUUUCUGUGUUUGGAUCACUAUGCUGAGUAUUUUACUAUCUCAUUUAAUCCCUGAAACGCUUUCCGAGGUUUAUACUAUUGCUAUUUCCGUUUUAUAGCUGGGGCCACUGAAGCCUAGGUAUAUUAAUAACUUGCCUAAAGCCACACAGCUAAGAAAUGUUGAAGCAGGGCUUUGAACCCAGGUCUGUAGAUUCCAAAGCCAGACAGGAAGGGAUUGCUACUUACAGAGGACAAAAGGGUAGACUGGGAAUUUUUUUUAAACACACUUAACCCUUGUGUUAUGAGCUGAUUUAUGUCCCCCCAGAAUUCAUAUGUUGAGGUCCCAACCUCCAGUACCUCAGAAUGUGUCUAUACUUGGAGAGAAGGUCUUUCAAGAGGUGAUUAAGCUAAAAUGUGGCCAUCAGGGUGGGUCCCAAUCCAAUAUGAUGGAUGUCCUUACAAGAAAACGAAAUUUGGACACAGAAAGAGAUAUCAGGGAUGUGCAUACACAGGAAAGACCACGUGAGGACCCAGUGAGAAGGCAGCCAUGCACAAAUGAAGAAGGCGGGCUUCAGAAAAAGCCAAACCUGCUGAGCACCUUGAUCUUGGACUUCUAGCCUGCAGAGCUGUGAGAAAAUGAAUUUCUGUUGUUUAGGA